rnacentral:lncRNA from 1 species
GCUAGUGUUUCAGUCAUUUCAUUCCCGUUUAUAUUAGCAAUAGAAAAUGAUAUCUUUCCAAUGUAAUAACCCAAAUUUGAUCGGGCCUUGAAACCCAAAACCAAAAUUAAAAAAUAAUAAACAAAUGUUUAUUUAUUUAAUAGUCCAGGUUACAAAGCCCAAAUCAUGGGCCCAAAACCAAAACAAUUCAGCUAAGCCCGUUUACAUCUUACACAGAUAUACUAAACUAGCCCAAAUAUACGGACCCAAUACCCAACGAGCCCAAACCUAAACUAGACCCAAUUGACCCAAGCUCUCAGAGGCCCAAAACCUAACACCAUCAGCUAGGGUUUCUAACCCUAGCUCUCUCCCUACAGUGCCGCAACAGCUUCUGGAAGCUUCGGGGAGCGUCGGUUCAACUCCCCAGAUCGAGGCCAUCAAAGUGCCAUCAAUGCGUUCGUCCCUCUCGCGACCAUCCAGUACCGCGAUCUCAGGCUUUCCCUCUGACCUUGGUACCACCGUUAAUGCCGAGAUCGUCGAAGUAACUGCAAAAUAGAAAAGGAAACUCAGCAAAUAAUGGCCAAAGAUACAGUAGACAAGAAAUAUAAAGAAAUCGGAGAUUUCUUUCCUUAUGUAACAAAUCAAUGGCUAUAAAAAGCCCUUUGUAACCCUUAAAAAAAGGAGGCAGAUAGAAAUAAAAAAAAACGGAUACAAACAGUUUCAAAGGUGAUUCUUGUUUUUAUAUUUUUGUCUUUCAUUUCUCUAUUUUCAGUAUAGAAGCAUAUGAAUAUUUAUAUAUAUGUACACAAAAAUAACUUAAAAAUAAAAGGAAAGGGUUACCUGACGGAUGGCACGAAAAAGGAGAGGUUUUUCGAACCCUAACUACCGUAUACGGUGGUCCUUAGGGCGGCGCGUGGGCGCGUGGGCGCGUGGGCGCGUGGGCCAAAACCCAGAGCUCCCUUCCUCUCUCUUUCUUUCAGAGAGAUUUUUUAGUUUUUUUUUAAAUCGGGCUUCAAAUGAACUAAAGGCUGAGGAAUUGGCUUUUAUAGCCUUGACAAAACGGCAUCGUUUUGUGACCCCAAGGAUCCGCGCGUUGACCCGAUUGCCCGGGUAGGAUCCGCGCUUUUUUGAAAAAUGGAUUAAUUAUCCAAUCGGUCCUCUCAACUUUUAAUUUCUCAUGAUUUCACUUUAUUUUUUUAAUUUUACCCCAAUAUUCUAAUUUUAAUUCAAUUGAGUCCCG